GAUCAAAGAAAGAACUAUGGAUCUGCUAAUUCCACCUAACCAUAUUUAAUACUAUGGCUUUCUUA
rnacentral:tRNA from 1 species